rnacentral:rRNA from 1 species
GACAGAGGGUGCAAACGUUGUUCGGAAUUACUGGGCGUAAAGCGCGUGUAGGCGGCUAAGUAAGUCGGGCGUGAAAUCCCACGGCUCAACCGUGGAAGUGCACUCGAAACUGCAUAGCUAGAGUCCUGGAGAGGAAGGUGGAAUGCUUGGUGUAGAGGUGAAAUUCGUAGAUAUCAAGCGGAACACCGGUGGCGAAGGCGGCCUUCUGGACAGUGACUGACGCUGAGACGCGAAAGCGUGGGGAGCGAACAGG